rnacentral:lncRNA from 1 species
CUGUGUGCAGAGAGAGAUCUCUGGUGUCUGUUUCUCAUAACCACCAGUCCUGUCAGACAGGGCCCCACUCUUGUGACCUCAUUUAACCUUUAUUCUCUCCCUAAAGGCUUAUCUCUAAAUACAAUCGCAUUUGGGGUUAGGGUUAGGGGUUUAGACAUACAAAUUUUGGGGGACACAACUCAGUCCAUAACAGGUGUCUCCUGUGAUGUGUAUGUGUUUGGAAACUACCAAUUGGUCUUGGUUUCUGGAACCCCCUGACGAGCACAAUGCUCAGCACUGCCCCAAAUUCAUGUUCUCACCACACAAGCACAGCAGACAGGCAGCACCUGGCCACCAACUGCCCCUGAUGUCUCUUGGGCCAGGGAAAGGGGUCUGUCUAGGUUGCGGGGUCAUGGGCAACUGCUGCCCAGAUCGCAGCUGUGGCUCAGCUGCAGCAUGUGGGGGUCUGAGGAUCCCUCCCCUGACUUGACCCCAUGUCAGUUCAGGCUGCUAUAACAGAAUACCAUAAACUGGGUGGCUAAUAAAGAAUAGAAAUUUAUUUCUAUUCUACAGUUUUUUCUACAGAAAUUUAUUUCUAUUCUGCAGUUCUGGAGGCUGAGAAGACCAAGAUCAAGGUGCCAGCAAAUUGGGUGUCUGGCCUUAGCUCCAGAAGGAGGAAUGCUUCCACCAGGAGACACAACAGUGAUUCCACUGAACUGGAAGCUAAGACUUCCAUCUGGCCACUUUGGGCUCCUCAUGCCUCUGAAUCAACAGGCAAAGAAUAGAGUUAUGUGUUGUGUGAGGUGAUUGGUCCUGACUGCCAAGGAGAAAUUGGACUACUGUUGCACAAUGGAGGAGCCUGAUGUGGUCUAAAGGAUGCAUGAGCUACUUCAGACUCAACCAAGUAGUGGUCCUGAUGCUGCUGCUCUGCUGGAUGUGAUGUCACUGCUAGAGCAGGUUAGUAAGGCCUCAGGCACAAGGUACAUGACUGUAGAUUUGAUGACCGCAGUCUGUUUUAUUCAGUUAGAAAAGUGGAGGUGGAAUUUUUAGCAUGCAUGUGGAAGAAGCAACAACAUUUAUUUAUAGUUUAU